rnacentral:rRNA from 1 species
GACGAACGUUGGCGGCGUGCCUAAUACAUGCAAGUCAACUGAAAUACCGGUAGCAAUACUGGUAUGGAGGUGGCGCACGGGUGAGUAACACGUAGGUAAUCUGCCUUCAGGUCUGACAUAACCCAUCGGAAGGUGAGCUAAUAUCAGAUGAUGCAGCGGCUUGACAUCAAGACGGUUGUUAAAGCUUCGGCGCCUGAAGAUGAGCCUGCGCUGAUUAGCUAGUUGGCGGGGUAACGGCCCACCAAGGCUGCGAUCAGUAGCUGGUCUGAGAGGAUGAUCAGUCACACUGGAACUGAGACACGGUCCAGACUCCUACGGGAGCAGCAGUAAGAAUAUUGCUCAAUGGCCGAAAGGCUGAAGCAGCAACGCCGCGUGAGGGAUGAAGGGCUUUUGCUUGUAAACCUCUGUAGCGAGAG